GCUUCCAUUCUCCCCAUCUUCUGGUACUCCAAUCAAUCAUAGGCUCAGUCUUUUUAUGAAGUCCCAUACUUCCUAGAGGCUUUGUUAGUUGCUUUUCAUUCUUUUUUCUCUAUUCUUGUCUACAUGUCUUAUUUCAGCAAGAUCUUCUUUC